rnacentral:rRNA from 1 species
AUUGAACGCUGGCGGCAUGCCUUACACAUGCAAGUCGAACGGCAGCGCGGGAGCAAUCCUGGCGGCUAGUGGCGAACGGGUGAGUAAUAUAUCGGAACGUGCCCAGUAGUGGGGGAUAGCCCGGCGAAAGCCGGAUUAAUACCGCAUGAGACCUGAGGGUGAAAGCGGGGGAUCGCAAGACCUCGCGCUAUUGGAGCGGCCGAUAUCAGAUUAGCUAGUUGGUGGGGUAAAGGCCUACCAAGGCAACGAUCUGUAGUUGGUCUGAGAGGACGACCAGCCACACUGGGACUGAGACACGGCCCAGACUCCUACGGGAGGCAGCAGUGGGGAAUUUUGGACAAUGGGCGCAAGCCUGAUCCAGCAAUGCCGCGUGCAGGAAGAAGGCCUCGG